ensembl:lncRNA
GAUAUUUUACAUUCACAUUAACAAAAAAAGUAUUUUGACAGCUUUUCACAGUAAACUGCCAUGAUCUUUACUGUCAGGUGUUGUUGCCAGUAAGCUCUGAGUAGGGCGUACACCUGAUAUGAAUGUAGGUGAGGUGAUCCUGUAUGGCUACAUUCUUUACGUUCGACGUCAUUAAACUGUCUGAACUGCAUGUUGAUAAACCAGCUUCUCAUGACAGAGACUUUGCUCUUUGGGUCGAUCGGGUCUAAUUCACAGAAGGCAGAGAAAAAGCUAACUAAUGUCUCUGAGGAAAACAAAAUACAUGCGAAGCUGAACAAUGGAAACACCAGGAGACGCUCCAGAGGGACAGAGACACGUCCAUCAGGAGAGACCUCCAUCACCUGUGCCCACUUGUGUGUCCAUGAAGAGUGACCAGUCACAUGAACGCCGCAUCAACUUCCAGAAUGAAGAUGGUACAAAUGCAUCAAGGCAAGUUCGUAAAACAGACACAUGUAAAGGGUAUGCUAGGAAGGGUCUGUUAGGAAGUCAACAAAUAGUGAAUUUAGAGUGUCACAACCAGAUAUUUGGUCAAGAAACAAACAACCUUUCUAUAAAUACUUUGUCAUAUUUUACUUGUAUUUAAAUACCAUCAUUCCCCUUCCAGCUUCCCCUUGUUAAGAAUAGUCAGUCAGAUUUGGGUGUAAAUGCCUCUGUAGUAAAUCAUGGGAGCUAUUUUGUGUGAUAGACACGUCCGUCAGGAGAGACCUCCAUCACCUGUGCCCACUUGUGUGUCCAUGAAGAGUGACCAGUCACAUGAACGCCACAUCUUCCAGAAUGAAGAUGGUACAAAUGCAUCAAGGCAAGUCCAUGAUACAGACUCAUGUCAAGGGUAUGCU